rnacentral:rRNA from 1 species
UACGAAGGGGGCUAGCGUUGUUCGGAAUUACUGGGCGUAAAGCGUGCGCAGGCGGCCAUCCAAGUCAGUGGUGAAAGCCCGGAGCUCAACUCCGGAAUUGCCAUUGAAACUGUUUGGCUCGAGUACGAGAGAGGGAAGUGGAACUCCGGGAGUAGCGGUGAAAUGCGUAGAGACCCGGAGGAACACCGGUGGCGAAGGCGGCUUCCUGGCCUACUACUGACGCUGUGGCGCGAAAGCUGGGGGAGCGAACGGG